UGACAUCAGCGGUCAUGGAGAGUCUCCAUCCAGCUGGAUCACUGUCACAGAUAAACCUACACCGACAGCUUCACCCACCACAACAACUUUUCUCACAUCCACAUCACUGUCUACCACAACAGCUCCAAACCCUGGCUGCUCCCUCUGCCAUCCUAAUUUCAGACUAGUCCUCCACCUGCUGGUGAUCUGUCCAUAUUUGAUAUCCACUCUCCUCUUGGUGUCUUUAUAUCAACACAGAGCCAAAGGCUGAGCAGGGACUGGAUGAUGACUGUAAUUACAACAUCACUAGCAUCAACAAAGAGCACCACAUCUGAACCUCUCUACCUUAACUUAAAAAAUUAAAUGUGUUCUGAUGUUUCGAGCUGUGAAUCAAUUGGUUGCUUUUACUCCGUGUUUUUGUAAUGAUUAAGUGGAGAUGUGGAGGAGGUGGAUUAAGUGAAUUAGAGUCUAAAAAGGAAAAUGACAGAAGAGCACUGAGAUUUAAACCGUGCAGAGUGGCAGCUGAUUGGCUCAAAAAAAGGUUAAAAAGAAGAUGAUUGGACUAGAUCAGGGGUGCCCAAUCCCGGUCCUCGAGAGCU